rnacentral:rRNA from 1 species
UACGGAGGGUGCGAGCGUUGUCCGGAAUCACUGGGCGUAAAGGGCGCGUAGGUGGCGCGGCAAGUCAACGGUGAAAGCUCGACGCUCAACGUCGAGUCGGCCGUCGAUACUGCUGGGCUUGAGCACUGUAGAGGCAGGCGGAAUUCCGGGUGUAGCGGUGGAAUGCGUAGAGAUCCGGAAGAACACCGGUGGCGAAGGCGGCCUGCUGGGCAGUUGCUGACACUGAGGCGCGACAGCGUGGGGAGCAAACAGG